rnacentral:rRNA from 1 species
GAUGAACGCUAGCUACAGGCUUAACACAUGCAAGUCGAGGGGAAACGAUAGAGAAAGCUUGCUUUUUCUAGGCGUCGACCGGCGCACGGGUGAGUAACGCGUAUCCAACCUGCCCACCACUUGGGGAUAACCUUGCGAAAGUAAGACUAAUACCCAAUGACGUCUCUAGAAGACAUCUGAAAGAGAUUAAAGAUUUAUCGGGUGAUGGAUGGGGAUGCGUCUGAUUAGCUUGUUGGCGGGGUAAACGGCCCACCAAGGCGACGAUCAGUAGGGGUUCUGAGAGGAAGGUCCCCCANAUUGGAACUGAGACACGGUCCAAAACUCCUACGGGGAGGCAGCAGUGAGG